CACGUAGGGGCCAAGCGUUGUCCGGAUUUAUUGGGCGUAAAGAGCUCGUAGGCGGUUGGGUAAGUCGGGUGUGAAAACUCCAGCUCAACUUAGAGACGCCACCCGAUACUGCUCUGACUUGAGUUCGGUAGGGGAGUGGGGAAUUCCUGGUGUAGCGGUGAAAUGCGUAGAGAUUUGGAGGAACACCAGUGGCGAAGGCGACUUUCUGGUCUGUAACUGACACUGAGGCGCGAAAGCGUGGGGAGCAAACAGG
rnacentral:rRNA from 1 species